GUGUCAGCAGCCGCGGUAAUACAGAGGGGGCAAGCGUUAUUCGGAAUUAUUGGGCGUAAAGGGCGCGUAGGCGGCCUUGCAAGUGGAAGGUGAAAUCCCUCGGCUUAACCGAGGAACUGCCUUCCAGACUGCUAGGCUUGAGACCGGGAGAGGUGAGUGGAAUUCCCAGUGUAGCGGUGAAAUGCGUAGAUAUUGGGAGGAACACCAGUGGCGAAGGCGGCUCACUGGACCGGUACUGACGCUGAUGCGCGAAAGCGUGGGGAGCAAACGGGAUUAGAAACCCGCGUAGUCC
rnacentral:rRNA from 1 species